UACGUAGGGGGCAAGCGUUGUUCGGAAUUACUGGGCGUAAAGGGCGCGUAGGCGGCAGGCCAAGUCGGGAGUGAAAGCCCGGGGCUCAACCCCGGAAUGUCUUUCGAAACUGGCCAGCUUGAGUGCGGAAGAGGCAACUGGAAUUCCCAGUGUAGCGGUGAAAUGCGUAGAUAUUGGGAAGAACACCUGAGGCGAAGGCGGGUUGCUGGGCCGACACUGACGCUGAGGCGCGAAAGCCAGGGGAGCAAACGGG
rnacentral:rRNA from 1 species